UACGGGGGGGCAAGCGUUGUUCGGAAUUACUGGGCGUAAAGGGCUCGUAGGCGGCCAACUAAGUCAGACGUGAAAUCCCUCGGCUUAACCGGGAACUGCGUCCGAUACUGGAUGGCUUGAGUUCGGGAGAGGGAUGCGGAAUUCCAGGUGUAGCGGUGAAAUGCGUAGAUAUCAGGAAGAACACCCGUGGCGAAGGCGGCUCUCUGGGACGUGACUGACGCUGAGACGCGAAAGCGUGGGAGCGAACAGGAUAGAUACC
rnacentral:rRNA from 1 species